UACGAAGGGGGCGAGCGUUGUUCGGAAUUACUGGGCGUAAAGGGCGCGUAGGCGGCCGAUCAAGUCAGAUGUGAAAGUCCUGGGCUUAACCUGGGGACUGCAUUUGAUACUGAUUGGCUUGAAUGCAGGAGAGGAUAGCGGAAUUCCCAGUGUAGAGGUAGAAAUUCGUAGGAUAUUGGGAAGAACACCGGUGGCGAAGGCGGCUAUCUGGACUGUGAUUGACGCUGGAGGCGACGAAAGCCGUGGGGAGCAAACAGGA
rnacentral:rRNA from 1 species